UUCGCCCUUAGAGUUUGAUCCUGGCUCCCGACGAAGUUGGCGGCGCGCCUAACACAUGCAAGUCGAACGAGAGAUGAGGAGCUUGCUCUUCAAAUCGAGUGGCGAACGGGUGAGUAACGCGUGAGGAACCUGCCUCAAAGAGGGGGACAACAGUUGGAAACGACUGCUAAUACCGCAUAAGCCCACAGCUCGGCAUCGAGCAGAGGGAAAAGGAGCAAUCCGCUUUGAGAUGGCCUCGCGUCCGAUUAGCUGGUUGGUGAGGUAACGGCCCACCAAGGCGACGAUCGGUAGCCGGACUGAGAGGUUGAACGGCCACAUUGGGACUGAGACACGGCCCAGACUCCUACGGGAGGCAGCAGUGGGGAAUAUUGCACAAUGGGGGAAACCCUGAUGCAGCGACGCCGCGUGGAGGAAGAAGGUCUUCGGAUUGUAAACUCCUGUUGUUGAGGAAGAUAAUGACGGUACUCAACAAGGAAGUGACGGCUAACUACGUGCCAGCAGCCGCGGUAAAACGUAGGUCACAAGCGUUGUCCGGAAUUACUGGGUGUAAAGGGAGCGCAGGCGGGAGAACAAGUUGGAAGUGAAAUCCAUGGGCUCAACCCAUGAACUGCUCUCAAAACUGUUUUUCUUGACUAGUGCACAGGUACGCGGAAUUCCCGGUUGUACGGUGGAAUGCGUAGAUAUCGGGAGGAACACCAGUGGCGAAGGCCGGCUACUGGGCACCAACUGACGCUGAGGCUCGAAAGUGUGGGUAGCAAACAGGAUUAGAUACCCUGGUAGUCCACACCGUAAACGAUGAUUACUAGGUGUUGGAGGAUUAACCCCUUCAGUGCCGCAGUUAACACAAUAAGUAAUCCACCUGGGGAGUACGACCGCAAGGUUGAAACUCAAAGGAAUUGACGGGGGCCCGCACAAGCAGUGGAGUAUGUGGUUUAAUUCGACGCAACGCGAAGAACCUUACCAAGUCUUGACAUCCCUUGACGAACAUAGAAAUAUGUUUUCUCUUCGGAGCAAGGAGACAGGUGGUGCAUGGUUGUCGUCAGCUCGUGUCGUGAGAUGUUGGGUUAAGUCCCGCAACGAGCGCAACCCUUAUGGUCAGUUACUACGCAAGAGGACUCUGGCCAGACUGCCGUUGACAAAACGGAGGAAGGUGGGGAUGACGUCAAAUCAUCAUGCCCUUUAUGACUUGGGCUACACACGUACUACAAUGGCGUUAAACAAAGAGAAGCAAGACCGCGAGGUGGAGCAAAACUCAGAAACAACGUCCCAGUUCGGACUGCAGGCUGCAACUCGCCUGCACGAAGUCGGAAUUGCUAGUAAUCGUGGAUCAGCAUGCCACGGUGAAUACGUUCNCCGGGCAAUGUACACACGGCCCGUCA
rnacentral:rRNA from 1 species